rnacentral:rRNA from 1 species
UACGUAGGGGGCAAGCGUUGUCCGGAUUUAUUGGGCGUAAAGAGCGUGUAGGCGGCCAUACAGGUCAGCUGUGAAAACUCCGAGGCUCAACCUCGAGACGUCGGUUGAAACCGUAUGGCUAGAGUCCGGAAGAGGAGAGUGGAAUUCCCGGUGUAGCGGUGAAAUGCGUAGAUAUCGGAAGGAACACCAGUGGCGAAAGCGGCUUCCUGGUCCAGCACCGGACGUCAGGCACGAAACGCGUGGGGAGCAAACAGG